rnacentral:tRNA from 1 species
GGUCCGAUGGCCGAGCAGUUAGGCAAAGGUCUGCAAAACCUUCUACAGCGGUGCGACUCCGCUUCGGACCU